GAUGAACGCUGGCGGCGUGCCUAAUACAUGCAAGUAGAACGCAGUUGCGAACGGGUGAGUAACGCGUAGGUAACUGCCUGGUAGCGGGGGCUAACUAUUGGAAACGAUAGCUAAUACCGCAUACUACCAGAUGGAACUGCGGUGUUUUGGCUAGUGGGGGGGGUAACGGCUCACCAAGGCAACGAUACAUAGCCGAGGUGGGAGGGAGAUGAGCCACACCGGGACUUGGAAACGGCCCAGACUCCUACGGGGAGCAGCAGUAGGGAAUCUUCGUCAAUGGGGGGAACCCUGACCGUGCAACGCCGCGUGAGUGAAGAAGGUGUUCGGAUCGUAAAGCUCUGUUGUUAAGGAAGCGGUACUUAACCAGAAAGGGACGGCUAACUACGUGCCAGCAGCCGCGGUAAUAC
rnacentral:rRNA from 1 species